rnacentral:rRNA from 1 species
GACGAACGCUGGCGGCGUGCUUAACACAUGCAAGUCGAACGAAGUAGCGAACGGGUGAGUAACGCGUAAUCAACCUGCCCUUCAGAGGGGGACAACAGUUGGAAACGACUGCUCAUAACGCAUACUGAGGGGGGGGUUUGCGUCUGAUUGGCUCGUUGGAGGGGUAACGGCCCACCAAGGCGAUGAUCAGUGGGCGGUCGGAGGGGAGGAACGGCCACAGUGGGACUGAGAAACGGCCCAGACCCCUCCGGGAGGCAGCAGUGGGGAAUCUUCCGCAAUGGACGAAAGUCUGACGGAGCAACGCCGCGUGAGUGAUGACGGCCUUCGGGUUGUAAAGCUCUGUUAAUCGGGACGCGGUACCGGAAUAGAAAGCCACGGCUAACUACGUGCCAGCAGCCGCGGUAAUUC